AUAGAUACCCUGGUAGUCCACCCCGUAAACGUUGGGAACUAGUUGUGGGGUCCUUUCCACGGAUUCCGUGACGCAGCUAACGCAUUAAGUUCCCCGCCUGGGGAGUACGGCCGCAAGGCUAAAACUCAAAGGAAUUGACGGGGACCCGCACAAGCGGCGGAGCAUGCGGAUUAAUUCGAUGCAACGCGAAGAACCUUACCAAGGCUUGACAUACACGAGAACGUCCCAGAAAUGGGGGACUCUUUGGACACUCGUGAACAGGUGGUGCAUGGUUGUCGUCAGCUCGUGUCGUGAGAUGUUGGGUUAAGUCCCGCAACGAGCGCAACCCUCGUUCUAUGUUGCCAGCACGUAAUGGUGGGAACUCAUGGGAUACUGCCGGGGUCAACUCGGAGGAAGGUGGGGAUGACGUCAAAUCAUCAUGCCCCUUAUGUCUUGGGCUUCACGCAUGCUACAAUGGCCGGUACAAAGGGCUGCAAUACCGUGAGGUGAGCGAAUCCCAAAAAGCCGGUCCCAGUUCGGAUUGAGGUCUGCAACUCGACCUCA
rnacentral:rRNA from 1 species